rnacentral:rRNA from 1 species
UAAUCGAUGGGGGGACGCAGUAGGAUAGGCGAAGCGUGCGAUUGGAUUGCACGUCUAAGCAGUAAGGCUGAGUAUUAGGCAAAUCCGGUACUCGUUAAGGCUGAGCUGUGAUGGGGAGAAGACAUUGAGUCUUCGAGUCGUUGAUUUCACACUGCCGAGAAAAACCUCUAGAUAGAAAAUAGGUGCCCGUACCGCAAACCGACACAGGUAGUCAAGAUGAGAAUUCUAAGGUGAGCGAGCGAACUCUCGUUAAGGAACUCGGCAAAAUGACCCCGUAACUUCGGGAGAAGGGGUGCUCUUUAGGGUUGACGCCCAGAAGAGCCGCAGUGAAUAGGCCCAAGCGACUGUUUAUCAAAAACACAGGUCUCUGCUAAACCGUAAGGUGAUGUAUAGGGGCUGACGCCUGCCCGGUGCUGGAAGGUUAAGAGGAGUGGU